AUGCCUCCUGCACCCCUGAGCCCCCGUGGGCCCCCCUCAGGGGCAGGAGCCCUCUCCCACCACAGCUGGAGGCGGCUCCUCGUGCGGCUUCGUCCUCCCCAAGCACGUCUCACCGACGCGAUGUGGCCACGGUGGCCUGGGGGCCUUGUGUCUGCUCCCGCGUGUCGUUCACAGGCACGGAGGCCCAGCAGCCCGGCGGCAGCAGAGCUCGGGGCGCCCCGCGUGGGGCCGUGGGAGCCCAGGGCAGGACGGCCUCUGCUCCUGCCCCACUGGCCUCGUCCCAGGAGGGUCUCGCACACGAGAGGAGCAGGGGGCAGAAAGGGCUCAGCAGCAGGAAGCUCCUGCGAGCCACUAGGGCUGUCAUCCAGGAUGCGGGGGGAGCACGGAGGCAGGGACACCGCAGGCGUCACCCAGGUUGCGGCCCCGAACACGCCCACUCCAGGCCCCAAGGGACCCCGCUGCCACCUGUGCACUCUCACUAGGGCCCAACUGUGUCCCCUGCAAAGCUGUGUUGAAGCUUUAGCCCCCGGUGUGACGGAGGGGCCGCUGCGGGUGGAUGCGGCUAAGCGACGUGCGACAGGGGCUCCGACCCAACAGGGCUGCGGUCUUUUUUUUUUUUUUUUAAUAUUUUACUUAUUCCUGAGACAGACGCAGGCUGAGGGAGAAGCAGGCUCCCUGUGGGGCCCCCGGGCCAGUGGAGGCUGGCUGGCUGAGGCCUCCUCCCGCACCGACCUCCCCCUGCAGCCUCCAGGGCCGUCAGGAAACAGAAAUCUGUCCUUUAAGCCAUUUAACCUGGGAUAUUCCGUGAUGGCACAGAGCUGCCCGGGCCCUCCGCCCUCACCUCAAGCAAGCACCCAUCACUCACCCACCUGGCUCGGGACUGGGGGCCGUUCUCCCAGAGGCCGGGCCCCCCCCAGCCCCCACAGCUCGCCCACCGCGAGCAGCGCCCCGCCGACUGCUCCACGUCUCGGGUACAGUGCAGCCUCCAGGAGGGCCCCCACGGGACCCAACUUAAACGGACAGCCCAGCGCUUUAUCCCGCCUCCAUGCCUGGGACCCUGCUCUAUUUCUUUUCUUUCUUUUUCUUCCUAAGAUUUAUGAGAGAGACAGAGAAACACUGGGGGGGGGGGGGGGGCGGAGAGCAAGGUAG
rnacentral:lncRNA from 1 species